CGCUUCGUCGUCUGAAUCCACUCUCAACGGUGGUCACACGCUCGUCACAAAUAUCGUCACAGAUUGACGAAAAGUGAUUUUUGCACGUAAAUUCCUUCACUUUACGUCAUAAAUCGCAUAUUGUGGUCAUUUUGGUAUAGGUGGGAACCCUGGAUUCAACCGGCACCUCGGAGGUUUCCCUUGUUAGUGAUAACUCCCCAAUGAAUGAAAUUAAUUCGUCCAUCGUGGGUAACUCGGAUGCUGCUUCAGUAUCGUAAAAUGGUUCACGAAAAAACGAGGGGUGGUAAAAAUUGUAACGCGAUUUUCGACGACAAAAUCUAACGAGGCAUACAAAAUUCGCAACAAGCGGCAGUAUUAUGGAUAUGGAAGGGGAGGAAAUUGGACACCUCGAUGUUGUAAUUAUGGAUAUAAUUUCUCGCCGGGCUGCCAAUACAACGGUUUUUGGAAUGCAAAUAAUAAUCCUUACUGUCGUGGUUAUGGUUAUGGUAGAGGCGGAUACAACCGAGGUUAUAACCGUGGUGGUUACAACAAUGGAGACGAUUCCGUUGGCUGUACCUACGCUGGCCAAGCCAAUUGUUAUGGGAAUCAAAUCUGAAGUGUGAGUAUUACCUAGGCCAGGAAUGUCUCAAUAUUGCAAUUAUUAAUUUAUGUAUACCACUUCUGUUCGCCCAAUAUUAUUAGUCGCAAGAGGGCCCGAUAAUUUUUCUGAGUAUUUUAUUUGUCCAUAUAUAUAUGUACAUAUUACUUAAAUCCUAGGAUAUCUAUGGCAGGCAGUGGUGGCCGAGUGGUCAUCACACUGUGCUUCAAGCCGAAUGGAGGUUCUGGGUUCAAUUCCCAGUACUAGCAGAGAGUUUUUUCCCUUGUGGUUUUCCUCUCUGACUUGUUGCACAGGUCUGUGCGGUGUCCAUUGCACUACGGGCACCAUAGUUAGGAACCUGAGACCAUCUAUUUCUCACUUAUGUGAGGUUUGGUUCACUUGUAAUUCAAAUGUAAUGGCUAAAAUUGGGAAUCAAUAAAGACGACCUUAUUUUAAAUAAUUUCAUCAUU